UACGUAGGGGGCAAGCGUUGUCCGGAAUCAUUGGGCGUAAAGCGCGUGUAGGCGGCUCGGUAAGUCCGCUGUGAAAGUCAAGGGCUCAACCCUUGAAAGCCGGUUGAUACUGUCGGGCUAGAGUCCGGAAGAGGCGAGUGGAAUUCCCGGUGUAGCGGUGAAAUGCGUAGAUAUCAGGAGGAAUACCGAUGGCGAAGGCAGGUCUCUGGGCUAUAACUGACGCUAAUGCACGAAAGCGUGGGGAGCAAACAGG
rnacentral:rRNA from 1 species